ACACUUGAAAGAUUUGUUCUGAAUGUCCAGUGGGAACCUGGAAAUCGUAAUAAUUUGUAGUAUCGAUUGAGUGAAGCUAUGCAGCUGGGGCCUCCAGUGAAUAGACAGGAAUAGACAUUUUAUUGAUUAACUUUUACAGUCAUAUUUUCAAGACUCCGCUGCAACAUAAUUUUCACUUCCAAGCUUUGUGUUGCUGCAUCAUGAAACUUGGAUUCUUCUCCUUUAACAUUUACCCACUUGAGGAAAAAAGUAUGGACAUGUCUCGCCAGGGCUGUAUUCUGCAGAGGUGUGUAACUUUCCGGGAAAUGAUUUUUCUCAAGUGAUACUCUACCACAAAUAGUAAAAAGAAACUAUCUGGUUAUAACAGUUUUGGAAAUAUCAUUAUGGCAGCUAUUUGACUGUCCUCACACUGUCACCCAGGCUGGAGUGCACUGGCGCGAUCUCGGCUCACUGCAACCUCUGCCUCCUGGGUUCAAGCGAUUCUCCUGCCUUAGCCGUGAUGUUCAGUUUCUAAUACUAAUCACCUAUUUUACCGUCUUUUACAACUUCGUUGUAGGAGGUGUGAAAGAGGAGGGAAAUUGUGUUGGAAGAGGAGAUUAGGACAUCAAGAGACACCAAGAGUAACCAUGUACAGAGAAAAACAUCAUAUGAAGACACAGCAAGAAGGUGGCCAUCUGUAAGCCAAAGAGAGGCCUCAGAAGAAACCAAAUCUGCUAACACAAUCAUGGACUUUCAGCCUCCAGGACUGUGUGAAAAUAAAUUUCUGCUGUUUAAGCCACCCCAGUGUCUGGAAUUCUAUGGCAGCCCUAGCAAAUAAAUACAACUACUAUCAGUAUUAUUUGUCUUUUUAUAUUACUCUACAGUGUCAAGCCAAAUUUAAUUUUUAAAAUAAUGAUAUCUCAUAUCCACUUAAGCUAAAUAGGGCCC
rnacentral:lncRNA from 1 species